CGCCCGGCAGGGUGGCACCUCCUCCUCCCAGGUGGGGGGCGGACGCACUGGUUGGCUGGGGACGGAGACGUCAUCCUUGAUGUCACGGAUGUGGGCGGUAUCUAUGCAGAUGAGGGUCGCGCAGGGGCUGCGGCGUCCGCACUCGCUGCAAGACAUGGAGGGAUUUCGCGCGCGGCCUGGGGGGAUCGCGGGUGGGCGGGCGUGAGCGUAGCGCAGGAGCGGGGUGCGCGUCGGCGGAGGCCCCGGAGCGCGCGCGGCGAAGUGACCGUGUGUUGAGAGCGCAGGGCCGGUGUGGCUGAUUCGGGCCUGCGCCUGUGGGAAGCAUACUUACCUGGCAGGGGAGAUACCAUGAUCAAGCAGGUGGUUUUCCCAGGGCGAGGCCCAUCCAUUGCACUUGGGGUGUGCUGACCCCUGCGAUUUCCCCAAAUGCGGGAAACUCGACUGCAUAAUUUGUGGUAGUGAGGGACUGCGUUCGCGCUCUCCCCUGGUAAUCUGGUUGCAAAGACAGUUUUGUUGUACUCAAGUUACACUUACUUAGUCUGUAACAUUUUCAGUUGAACAACAGCAACUGCCGUUUCUGACAAGAGAAAGCAUUUCUUUCUCCCUCCCCACCCAAGUUUUCCAUUAGUUAUUUCAGAUUACGAAAGUAAUUUGAGUUACGACUAAAGAAGGUCGAGCCCGCCGUUUUUCCGGGACCCUGCCUUCGAUUAUCUCAAUGGAUAUGUUGCAGUUAUUUUCUACACUACCUGGACACUCGUCCAGGGGUCUCCCCGAGAACCCUUCUUUCUCAGAGCGCAUAAAAUUCUGGUGACUGAGGCCCCAAAUUCGGUUGCCCGAAAGGCCACCUCCCUUUCCUGCUUGCUCCUUCGCCUUAGGCUAGCUCUCCUAGCGCCCCUGCUUGCUCUCCCAACUCUCUCCACCCCGUGGAUUGUCCCUGCUAAUGACGCAGGUUCGGGGAUCAGAUCACUGGCCUGGGUUUCCUUUUCCACAAACCAACUGCUCCUGCUUUCCAGUUCCAUGUGAUAAUUUCCUUGGCCCUUUUCUCUGUAGAGACAUCAGACAGCAAUGACGCCACCAAUGCCCAUCCCUGAUCCCUGAAUAAAACUUAAUGCAGGGUGCUAAAAAGAAACCCCUUGCCCUAUUUAUGCUUUUCCUGAUUUGUUCCAACUGUAUGCAGUUAAGUGCUGAUACUUUUCCAAAAGUAGAAUUUAAGAUUACGAUCUAUAACGGUAAUUUCAAGCGGUGAGAAUAUAGAGACCAUUUAUGGUGUCUACAUAAUGAAUAUAGGGAGACCAGUAAAUCAUGAGGACAUUUGAAAAACAAGUUUUCACCUGUCAUAGGAUGUUUCUCUGGUUUUAAACAAACACAUGGUUGUAUUUUAGUGCGGUAUGGGUGACACAGUGAUCCUGGGCUAAGCUGCCUUUGUUUCCAUAUGUUACUGCUCUCUCUAGUUUUCUCACACACCCCGUCUUAGUAACUGUGACUAAGGCUAAGCUGAUGGUUGAAGAGGCCAAACUAUCUCAUCCAAGUGUUAGCCAGAUCUGACUCCACCAAGGCCAUAGGUGAAGCAGUGAAUUUCACUGGGGUUACUUAGAGAAGCAGACUUGUGCGGAUGACAACUCACAAAAGCGGGGAACCUGGAGUGCACUGCACAGCCUGCAGGCAGCUCCACAGAAUAACAUUUGGCGCCCGGACGUGAAAAGGCUCUGCCCUUAUACCUUCUGCGACCUGCUGGCGGGCACAUGUUAGGCUAAGGGUAACCUUACAAUCCACUUCCAUCUCCGCUUUUCCUGGCACUUCCUCCUGCCUGCAGCAGCCUGAGAUGCCGGAACUCAACUCGCCGCUUUCCAACUAAGGAUCUCUUAAACUCACUGAUCUGCCUAUUCGCUACAAUCCGGUCGCAAGUUAUCAGCAAGAAGGCAGGUAUCCUGCAGCCCACUACUAUGGAUGGAGCACCUUGGGGAUGGCUGUCCAUGCAGCCUGCUGGCAAGUCUCUGUUAUUCUUUAAUCAUUGAUUCAGGUAAAAUCUUAUCCUUCUCAAGAACUCUGAUGCUUUUGACGACUAAUAGUCUUGCCAGCUUAAAGCAAAACAUUCCAGUAACAGGUAUUUUAGGGUUUAUCUAUGUAAAGAUAGGAAAGUCUAAGAUGUAUAAAAGUCUGAGAAUGUAGUUACAAAGGCCUGAGGAUAAAAAGGCUUAAAUGAUGAUAAUGAGUUGAGACAUUAAAAAGAAUAAAAAAUGUUCCUGAUUUCUCUAUUUCUCAUGCUACUGUUCAUAGUAAAGUUCAACAAUACCACUAUAUGAUCAUAACUACAAGGUCAAGAUUAUGAUACUUUUCAUUGUCAAAAAAAAAUCUGUCUGUUUUAAAAUGGUAAUGCUUUUAGCCAAGUUGCUUCUAACAUGAAUAUGCUACUAAUGUGUCUAAUACUUAUGUUUCCACAAACUCUAAGGAUUCUUGUAAGUUCCAGGGAGCCGAAUCAGAUCCAAACAGGUCAGAUUCACUCCAGGUAAUAUUCAACCUUUCCCCAGUCCCAAAUUCCCUUCUCUCAUCUUGGGACUCCUCGGGAACCCCUCCCUCAUCUUACAAUCUUCCCCUCAAGUGACAGGACCUAAGAAAAUUUUUUUUUCUAAUCUCAACCUUGUCUUCUGCUCUGUCAACAUCUUGCCAGGUCUAAGAGGCGCCAGGGAGUUGCAUACAGCCUGGACUACAAUGAAACAACCAGCUUCCCCAGGACGUGGCAGCACCCCAACCUUCUCGGGUCCCCCAAAGAUGGUCAACGCCCCCACGUCAGCAGGAAGCAGUCUUAAGAAUUCGACGCCCUUAUUCCUUAACCUGCCAUGUCUAAACACCCCACCUUUUUUAAUAAUAAGUAGAGGUGGGAAUGAAAGGUUCAGGCAUUAUGCUGGCCUGCCCCUGUUACCUGGUGGAAUCCACUCAGGCAAUACCCUGGUCAGCCCAAGGUUCCAUGGGAAAGAAGUCUGCACACAGGUGCAGAGGACCCCUUUAAAAGAUAGGCCCCUGCACCUUUCUCUCUCUCUCUCUGCCCCUUUACGCUCGCGCUCUCUCUCUCUCUCCCCCUGUUCCUGCUCUCUGUCCCCUCUCUCUGUUUCCCCGCUCUGUCUCUCUAUGGCGACCGGCCAUGGCGGUCAGCCAUUACCCUGUUCCUCUUCUUAGUCUCCCCAUUCUACCGGGCCAUAUAAUAAACUUAUAGUCAAUAUGUCUGUCUCAAUAUUUCUCUUUUCUUCUUUUUAAACAAAAGAAUAACACUUAGAGCUUGUGUGUAUGCUUGUGGAGGGAGGGCUCCAGUGAAUCUUGUUAGUUUCAGUGACUUCCUGAAGAAUAUGGAGUUGUUUACUCUUGAACUUCCUGCAGUAUGCAAUGUUUCACUUCAUCUCCCUUUUAACAUCCUGUCUUAACUUCCCUCUAGAACACCCGUUGUUUGGCUUCCUCUUAAAUCCUGUGUGCUAAUGAAAGUCCCUCCAAUAUGGAAUGUUUUAACUUCCCAGGAACAGUUAUACAACAGUACCUCUCUCAUGAGAAUCUUGGCACCUAUGGGGACGUGUGGGGGAGGAGUGGGUGCCCUUCCAGGUUCUGCUUAACAUGAUUAAUGUACCAAACUGCCAUGUUUAAAGCCAGUAUAUCCCAAACCCAUCAUACCUAAGAUGCAAGCCUCAGGAUCCAAAACAGUGACUGCAAAGGCUAAUGCUUACAUUGAAGGAACCGGCUUCCCUUUUGGCAGCCAUAACAGCCGAACACAUGCUUGCCAUAAACCUGCCUUGGUCACGUAGAGGUCAGAUGCCUGUCUCGUGACAAGGAACCAAUCGGAAGUUAGCUGGUGGCGCUAUGCUUUACGACCCUGGGUGUGCUUUACGGACAAGCGCACGACAAUGACGUAGAGAGCAUAGCAACCACCCUGGGAGGGCCUAUGGGCCAUAACAACCAGUUGACCAAUCAACACAGGGCAAGCCCUCCAAGCCUGGAGGCACACCAAUCGUGAGCCUGUGCGUACCCCUAGACACUCCCCUUACGCUGCCCUAUAAGAUCUUUUGGGAGACCCAAGGAGCCGUCUUUUCUAGCUGUCCGCCAUGGUGGGUGGUUGAAAGACCCGAGCUAACAUGGGGUUAGCUCGUUAAAUUACAAUAAAGCCUCGUGCAGUUUGCAGCAAGCUCUCGAAUCCGCCUGGUGAUUGGGGUGACCGCGAACCUGGCCUAAGACCCCGGACACUUGAGUUUUCGGGGGUCUAACAACAUCUAUACAAAGGAAUGAGUUUGUAUUCACUAUACAGUUUUCUCCCAAGUUUAUAUGUCCAAAGUUUAUUAUGAAAACAGCAAUCCCCUGAACUCUGGAAUGCCCGUCCCCUAAGAAAUGCCAUUAUCCAUUAGUGCAGUGGUCGCGUUGUUUGAUAUUUAUCUCAUUGUUUUUCCUUGGUUCUCUUGGUCUCCAUACAAGGCACAAGUUUGUGGGUUCCCUCCCUACGCUAUGCCAGGAGAGCCAGCAAGGAACCUCAGGCAACCGCUGAACAGCUCCUAUGUUCUGUCUUUAGUCUUGGCCAAAGCUGGCUCCUGCGGACGGAUGAGGUUCCUGAGCUCUGUCCUUCUCCCAGCAACCACCCGAAAACAAUCAGCAAAAUAAGAUCAUGAAUGAAACAAGUCGACUGCAGAAGGGCAACCGUAGCCUUUGCUCCAGCCUGCACCGCAAAACUUGCUCCCAGGUACCAAAGGGCAGCUGUGACCAUGUUUCCUGCUAUAUAUAGUUCACCUGCGCAGGGGCCAGAGGCCAGGGGUUUCUGAGAGCUCCAUUUCUGGUGACUGUCAGAGGACCCAGGGAGCCCAGGCAUGGACGCCCUAGUGCGGUGUGGGCAAUUUUGCUCUCUCCGGCCUUUCUGCACUGGCUCAGGACCUGGGACCUUGCUGACCCGGACUCACACUUUGGACGGAAGGCUUAAAUUUUACUUAAAUGGAAGAAAACAACUUUCUCCCAAGGAAAACAUAAAGAUCUCACCUAGAUUUGAAGUCGGACCAUCUGGAUUCAAAGUCCAGAGUGCUCACAAUUAUACCACGGAAUCUUCACAGUGUAGCCACCAUUUAAUCACUCCUGGCCUGUGUAAUGGACAGACAAGCCACCACCCAAUCUUUCCUACUGACUGUCCUACUACUGUAUUUCAUCUACACCUGCGAAAAUGAGACCAAGUCCCCUCAACUCAGAGCUGGGAAGGACUCCUUCCGGCCUCCACCAUCCGUCUCAGAUUGCUACUCCUUGUCCCCGUGACAGUUCUUCCAAUAAAUGGUGUUAGUAUUCUUGUCUUUUGCCCUUUUUCCACCUCCCAGGAACACCAAGAGCAGGAUUUGGUGGUUCCUGCCUUCUUUGGUCACCUAGCAGUCACAAUGGCGCUCUACCACUUCCUAUACUAUAUAAAGUGGAUCAGCAAUGUAGGGGAAGUUUGGAUUCAGGGGAACCCUUUUUGUUGUUUGUUUGUUUGUUUGUUUGUUUUUUACAAGACAGAAUUUAUCCGUGUAGCUUUGGAGCCUGUCCUGGAACUUGGUCUGUAGACCAGGCUGGCCUUGAACUCAGAGAGCUCCACCUGCCUCUGCCUCCCGAGUGCUGGGAUGAAAGGUGUGCACCACUGCCUGGCUCAUAUUUUUAUUCAGAUAUACACAUUUGUGUACCUUUGGUGGGUUUUAUGUUUCUUAUAAUGAAUGUCUUCUUCUCCUUCUCCUUCUCCUCCUCCUUCUCCUUCUUCUUUUUUUUUGAGACAGGGUUUCUCUGUGGCUUUGGAGGCUGUCCUGGAACUAGCUCUUGUAGACCAGGCUGGUCUCGAACUCACAGAGAUCCGCCUGCCUUUGCCUCCGAAGUGCUGGGAUUAAACACCCGCAUGAAUGUCUAUUUUUAAAAUUAAAAAAAUAACCUUUGCCUUCACCUUUAAUUCUAGCACUUGAGAAGUACAAGCAGGUGCAUCUCUUUAAGUUCCUAGCCAGCCAGGGCUACACAGGGAGAGGUCUCAAAAAUCAAA
ensembl:lncRNA